GCUGAAGCGGGGUAAUUCCCUCCUGCAAUUACUUUUGGAUGGAAGUAUGCCCCUUUCUCAGUAGAAGAUGGUAAUCUUGGAGAAUGACCAUGGAGAAGGGGAUGAGUUCUGGAGAAGGGCUGCCUUCCAGAUCAUCUCAGGUUUCGGCUGGUAAAAUAACAGCCAAAGAGUUGGAAACAAAGCAGUCCUAUAAAGAGAAACGGGGAGGCUUUGUGCUGGUGCAUGCAGGUGCAGGUUAUCAUUCUGAAUCCAAAGCCAAGGAGUAUAAACAUGUAUGCAAACGAGCUUGUCAGAAGGCAAUUGAAAAGCUGCAGGCCGGUGCUCUUGCAACUGACGCAGUCACUGCAGCACUGGUGGAACUUGAGGAUUCUCCUUUUACAAACGCAGGAAUGGGAUCUAAUCUAAAUCUGUUAGGUGAAAUUGAGUGUGAUGCCAGCAUAAUGGACGGAAAAUCCUUAAAUUUUGGAGCAGUUGGAGCGCUGAGUGGAAUCAAGAACCCAGUCUCAGUUGCCAACAGACUGUUAUGUGAAGGGCAGAAGGGCAAGCUCUCGGCUGGCAGAAUUCCUCCCUGCUUUUUAGUUGGAGAAGGAGCCUACAGAUGGGCAGUAGAUCAUGGAAUACCCUCUUGCCCUCCUAACAUCAUGACCACAAGAUUCAGUUUAGCUGCAUUUAAAAGAAACAAGAGGAAACUAGAGCUGGCAGAAAGGGUGGAAACAGAUUUUAUUCAACUAAAGAAAAGAAGACAAUCAAAUGAAAAGGAAAAUGACUCAGGCACUUUGGACACGGUAGGCGCUGUGGUUGUGGACCACGAAGGGAAUGUUGCUGCUGCUGUCUCCAGUGGAGGCUUGGCCUUGAAACAUCCGGGGAGAGUUGGGCAGGCUGCUCUUUAUGGAUGUGGCUGCUGGGCUGAAAAUACUGGAGCUCAUAACCCCUACUCCACAGCUGAUGUGGAGAGCAUCUUGUGCGCACCAUACUGGCUAGAGAAUGUUCACAUGCUUUACAAGCUGAAGAUGCUCACCAAGCCCUGUUGGAGACUAUGCAAAACAAGUUUAUCAGUUCACCUUUCCUCGCCAGUGAAGAUGGUGUGCUUGGCGGAGUGAUUGUCCUCCGUUCAUGCAGAUGUUCUGCCGAGCCUGACUCCUCCCAAAAUAAGCAGACACUUCUAGUGGAAUUUCUGUGGAGCCACACGACGGAGAGCAUGUGUGUUGGAUAUAUGUCAGCCCAGGAUGGGAAAGCCAAGACUCACAUUUCAAGACUCCCUCCUGGUGCGGUGGCAGGACAGUCCGUGGCAAUCGAAGGUGGGGUGUGCCGCCUGGAGAGCCCAGUGAACUGACCCUUCAGGCUGAGUGUGAAGCGUCUGAGAGGCAUUGCAGAGCCUGAGCUUUUUGGGGUUUUUAACUGAAGUUGGUUGUUUUAUCUUUCUUGUUUUAUAAUUCCUAUUGCAACCUCGUGCACUGCUCGAGACACAAGUGCUGCUGUAGUUAGCGCUUAGUGACACGCGGGCCUUUGGCGGGUGAGCGGGACUGUGUGUGAGUGUGUGCGCCUAUGUGCGCACAUAUGUGUAUGUGUGCAGUAUGUGUGUUUGCUUCUCCAUGGAUGAAAUAGAAACUCCUCAUUGUGUGACCAGGAAUGGUUAAAUCAUCUUUACAAAAUGUGUGCUUUAACUGUUUACAAGUAAAACCUAAAGUUGCAGGAAACAUUUUUUAUUUCGUAAAGAGGUACCAACUGUCGCUGAUGUAAUAUGUCAGAACUGAAGAGUAAAUCUACUUGUUUAAAUGACUUGACAGUGGUAGUGCUCCAUUUAAUGACAGUAAUAAGUAAUAAAGUGUUUUUAUUUGUUAACCAGUUUAAGUGGAUCCUGUGGUAACUUAAACUGUUGUUCUCAUCCCUUAUAUGGGGCAUUUUUCUUUAACAAAGAAUGGUUUCAGUGAAACAAUCUAGCAGAGAAUUAAUGUCAGAACCUUUUUAAAUAAUAGUCUGAUUGAUACAGUUUGUACUUAUUUCAUCAAGCUUUUCUAAGCUUAAAUAUUGCAUAGCUUCGAGCUGUAUGGACUAUAUUAUGAAAGAAUAUGUAAAGAGAACAUACAGUAAUGCACAGUCCUUAAUUUGUGUAUAAUGGAAUGUUAUUUACAAUAUAACACUGUAAAUAAGAAAGCAAAGUUUAUGGGAAAAUUCAAUAUUAUCUUUGUUUUUGUUUAAAUAUAUUUUUAAGAUAAAGGCACAAAAAUAAAAGAAGUGUAUUACUGGGUAUAGUAUGUGACUCCUCUUCUCAGACUAAUAAAUUAUCUUUUGAAUCCUUGA
rnacentral:sRNA from 1 species